rnacentral:rRNA from 2 species
AGAGUUUGAUCAUGGCUCAGAUUGAACGCUGGCGGCAGGCCUAACACAUGCAAGUCGAGCGGUAGCACAGAGAGCUUGCUCUCGGGUGACGAGCGGCGGACGGGUGAGUAAUGUCUGGGAAACUGCCUGAUGGAGGGGGAUAACUACUGGAAACGGUAGCUAAUACCGCAUAACGUCGCAAGACCAAAGUGGGGGACCUUCGGGCCUCAUGCCAUCAGAUGUGCCCAGAUGGGAUUAGCUAGUAGGUGGGGUAACGGCUCACCUAGGCGACGAUCCCUAGCUGGUCUGAGAGGAUGACCAGCCACACUGGAACUGAGACACGGUCCAGACUCCUACGGGAGGCAGCAGUGGGGAAUAUUGCACAAUGGGCGCAAGCCUGAUGCAGCCAUGCCGCGUGUGUGAAGAAGGCCUUCGGGUUGUAAAGCACUUUCAGCGGGGAGGAAGGCGUUAAGGUUAAUAACCUUGGCGAUUGACGUUACCCGCAGAAGAAGCACCGGCUAACUCCGUGCCAGCAGCCGCGGUAAUACGGAGGGUGCAAGCGUUAAUCGGAAUUACUGGGCGUAAAGCGCACGCAGGCGGUCUGUCAAGUCGGAUGUGAAAUCCCCGGGCUCAACCUGGGAACUGCAUUCGAAACUGGCAGGCUAGAGUCUUGUAGAGGGGGGUAGAAUUCCAGGUGUAGCGGUGAAAUGCGUAGAGAUCUGGAGGAAUACCGGUGGCGAAGGCGGCCCCCUGGACAAAGACUGACGCUCAGGUGCGAAAGCGUGGGGAGCAAACAGGAUUAGAUACCCUGGUAGUCCACGCCGUAAACGAUGUCGAUUUGGAGGUUGUGCCCUUGAGGCGUGGCUUCCGGAGCUAACGCGUUAAAUCGACCGCCUGGGGAGUACGGCCGCAAGGUUAAAACUCAAAUGAAUUGACGGGGGCCCGCACAAGCGGUGGAGCAUGUGGUUUAAUUCGAUGCAACGCGAAGAACCUUACCUGGUCUUGACAUCCACAGAACUUAGCAGAGAUGGUUUGGUGCCUUCGGGAACUGUGAGACAGGUGCUGCAUGGCUGUCGUCAGCUCGUGUUGUGAAAUGUUGGGUUAAGUCCCGCAACGAGCGCAACCCUUAUCCUUUGUUGCCAGCGGUCCGGCCGGGAACUCAAAGGAGACUGCCAGUGAUAAACUGGAGGAAGGUGGGGAUGACGUCAAGUCAUCAUGGCCCUUACGACCAGGGCUACACACGUGCUACAAUGGCAUAUACAAAGAGAAGCGACCUCGCGAGAGCAAGCGGACCUCAUAAAGUAUGUCGUAGUCCGGAUUGGAGUCUGCAACUCGACUCCAUGAAGUCGGAAUCGCUAGUAAUCGUAGAUCAGAAUGCUACGGUGAAUACGUUCCCGGGCCUUGUACACACCGCCCGUCACACCAUGGGAGUGGGUUGCAAAAGAAGUAGGUAGCUUAACCUUCGGGAGGGCGCUUACCACUUUGUGAUUCAUGACUGGGGUGAAGUCGUAACAAGGUAACCGUAGGGGAACCUGCGGUUGGAUCACCU